rnacentral:lncRNA from 1 species
GACAAUCGAUUGUCACCUCCAACCAAUCGAUUGUUUGAGCACAGAAUCAGGGAUUUGAUUUGUCAAUUAAGCAACGGUCAGCACUACUUUUUCACCUAUGAAAAGAGGUCUUUUGAGCUGAUUUUAAACACACAACUCCUGCAAAUAUUGAUAUACAUAUUGAUCAUUUUCAAGCAUCAUUUUAGAGCUUUUGUUGAGCCAUUUGAUAGACAACUUUGUGUUGUUCAUAGAGCUUAUUUUGUUU